UACGGAGGGAGCUAGCGUUAUUCGGAAUUACUGGGCGUAAAGCGCACGUAGGCGGCUUUGUAAGUUAGUGGUGAAAGCCUGGAGCUCAACUCCAGAAUUGCCUUUAAGACUGCAUCGCUUGAAUCCAGGAGAGGUGAGUGGAAUUCCGAGUGUAGAGGUGAAAUUCGUAGAUAUUCGGAAGAACACCAGUGGCGAAGGCGGCUCACUGGACUGGUAUUGACGCUGAGGUGCGAAAGCGUGGGGAGCAAACAGG
rnacentral:rRNA from 1 species